rnacentral:rRNA from 1 species
UACGUAGGUGACAAGCGUUGUCCGGAUUUACUGGGCGUAAAGAGCGCGCAGGCGGUCGUUCAAGUCGAGUGUGAAAGCCCCGGGCUCAACCUGGGAAUGGCGAUGGAUACUGGCGGGCUAGAGUGCGGUAGAGGAGAGUGGAAUUCCCGGUGUAGCAGUGAAAUGCGUAGAGAUCGGGAGGAACAUCAGUUGCGAAGGCGGCUCUCUGGACCAGCACUGACACUGAGGCACGAAAGCGUGGGGAGCAAACAGG